rfam:Macaca mulatta chromosome 2, whole genome shotgun sequence.
GGUAAAAUGGCUGAGUAAGUAUUAGGCUGUAAACCUAAAGAUGGGGGUUUAGUCCCCCUUUUACCA